UACGUAGGUGGCAAGCGUUGUCCGGAUUUAUUGGGUUUAAAGGGUGCGUAGGCGGUCCAUUAAGUCAGCAGUGAAAUACGGCAGCUUAACUGUCGAGGUGCUGUUGAUACUGGUGGACUUGAGUACUGAUGAGGUAGGCGGAAUGGACGGUGUAGCGGUGAAAUGCUUAGAGAUCGUCUAGAACACCGAUAGCGAAGGCAGCUUACUAAAGAGUAACUGACGCUGAGGGCACGAAAGUGUGGGGAUCAAACAGGG
rnacentral:rRNA from 1 species